rnacentral:lncRNA from 1 species
AUAAAAAUUUAAAUAAUUUCUAAUAAAAAUAAAAAAAUUAAUAUAAUAAGUAGAAUAUUAAUAAUCUUAAAAUAAACUAGGUAUAUAAUAUAAGAAUUAUGCUGGAGUACUAUUAAUAGUACAAAGUUAUUGGUGCUAUUAAGUUUUCGACCCUUGAAUGAAGGGAUGUGUGGUUAGGAUAAUAAUAGUCGGUUGGUUGAAUAGUAUAAUUUAAUGUAUCGAAAUGGUCAAAAAAGUAAAUAUAACGGCGAAAAAUUUAAUAAUAUCAAGUGCUUUGUGCUAUUAAUAGCACCCUAGCCAGACUCUAAAAUAUAUAUUCUACUUUGGGGUGUAUAUGUAAUGUUGCACUUACUAUUAAAAAUAUUCAAAUGGUAUUGUGGCCGCUGUGACCUGGGUGGAAGUCAAGCGGGGCACGUGUAGGCAGAGGAUUGGCUGGAGUGGAAAGGAAUUUUACAGCUGUUUUGGCGGUGCAGCAGGCGGGGCGUCGACAGACAGGGGUUGGGGGGCGCAGUUAUUGCCUGGAAGCAGUAGGUUCAGCAAGUCGGCCGAGAAUCUGUCCAAAAAAGUUGACCAUGCAAGACAUCAAAUCUAAUAAGGAUUAUUAGUUGCAUAUAUAUAUAUAUAUAUAUAUAUAUAUGAGUUGAGCUAUGAUAUUUUUACAAGUAUCACCAUCAUGGUGCUAUAAGGUUUUAAGCCAUUGGAUCUACUUUUUGAUUAUUAAUAGACCUUGGAUUAAAGACUAUUCCACCUACCACCACCUGCCACCAUCAUCUGAACCUCACAUCUCUCCAUCCAAGGGCUAAACACACACAAGUAUCACCCCCAUGAUACUUUUACAAGUAUUCUAGCCCCACUCUAUAUAUCUGUAAUCUAUAUUAUAUAUAAAAACACGUAUUUCAAAUUUUGGUUUGCUGCCAAAUUUAUUUUAAAAAUAGAAAUAUAAAGAUAAGAAUAGGAAUCAUUCGGAAUGAAUACGUAAUGAUAUUUAAAUUCUUCUUUUUUUUCUCUAACGGAUACUCUUAAAUAGAAAUAUAAAGAUAAGAAUAGAAACCGUUGAGAAUAAAUAUGUAAUGAUAUUUAAAUUCUUCUUUUUUUAUCUUUUCUUUUUAAAUAAGAAUUAAAAUACGCGUGGGAGUAUAAAAUUUAUAAAAUAAAUAUUCACUUUGUUGAUAAGUAACCCAAUAUUUUUGAUUAGUUUAGAUUUAUUUCUGUCAAGUUUAUCUCUUAAUAUUUUUGUUGGUCAGACAUAAUAGAUAAGUUUAAAUCUGGUUUAGUUAUUGUUAUUAGGAUUUUGAUUUAUGUCUAUAUAUAGACGGCUGUAAAUGUGUAGAAAAUUAUCCACCAUCAAAAUUUAGUCUAAAUAUAUUUAAUAAAGAUUUAGUUUUAUGCUACUCUCGUUUCAACAAUUGGUAUCAGAGCCAAGUUGAAGAAGCCUCACGACGAAGAAAAGAUCGUCGGCUUCGUGAUCGAGGACGUAGAACGUGUCGGCAUCGCGCUCUCCAUCGACAUUGAUAGUUGAUCAUGGCCCUAAACGGGAUGAUUCAACCACAGCUUCCGAAGUUUAUAGAAAAGAACUUCGAUUACUGGAGUAUCCAGAUAAAAUGCUUAUUUUCAU